rnacentral:rRNA from 1 species
GGGUUGCGGACAGUGUCUGGUGGGUAGUUUGACUGGGGCGGUCUCCUCCCAAAGCGUAACGGAGGAGCACGAAGGUUAGCUAAUCCUGGUCGGACAUCAGGAGGUUAGUGCAAUGGCAUAAGCUAGCUUGACUGCGAGCGUGACGGCGCGAGCAGGUGCGAAAGCAGGUCAUAGUGAUCCGGUGGUUCUGAAUGGAAGGGCCAUCGCUCAACGGAUAAAAGGUACUCCGGGGAUAACAGGCUGAUACCGCCCAAGAGUUCAUAUCGACGGCGGUGUUUGGCACCUCGAUGUCGGCUCAUCACAUCCUGGGGCUGAAGUAGGUCCCAAGGGUAUGGCUGUUCGCCAUUUAAAGUGGUACGCGAGCUGGGUUUAGAACGUCGUGAGACAGUUCGGUCCCUAUCUGCCGUGGGCGCUGGAGAAUUGAGGGGGGCUGCUCCUAGUACGAGAGGACCGGAGUGGACGCAUCACUGGUGUUCGGGUUGUCAUGCCAAUGGCACUGCCCGGUAGCUAAAUGCGGAAGAGAUAAGUGCUGAAAGCAUCUAAGCACGAAACUUGCCCCGAGAUGAGUUCUCCCUGAGACUUUAAGUCUCCUGAAGGAACGUUGAAGACGACGACGUUGAUAGGCCGGGUGUGUAAGCGCAGCGAUGCGUUGAGCUAACCGGUACUAAUGAACCGUGAGGCUUAACCUU